CCUACGGGAGGCAGCAGUGGGGAAUUUUGGACAAUGGGGGCAACCCUGAUCCAGCCAUUCCGCGUGAGUGAAGAAGGCCUUCGGGUUGUAAAGCUCUUUUGUCCGGAACGAAACGGUGCACGUGAAUAUCGUGCGCUACUGACGGUACCGGAAGAAUAAGCACCGGCUAACUACGUGCCAGCAGCCGCGGUAAUACGUAGGGUGCGAGCGUUAAUCGGAAUUACUGGGCGUAAAGCGUGCGCAGGCGGUUUUGUAAGCCAGAUGUGAAAUCCCCGGGCUUAACCUGGGAAUGGCAUUUGGGACUGCAAGGCUGGAGUGUGGCAGAGGAGACUGGAAUUCCUGGUGUAGCAGUGAAAUGCGUAGAUAUCAGGAGGAAUACCGAUGGCGAAGGCAGGUCUCUGGGCUGACACUGACGCUCAUGCACGAAAGCGUGGGGAGCAAACAGGAUUAGAUACCCUGGUAGUCCACGCCCUAAACGAUGUCGACUGGUUGUUGGGGGUUUGACACUCUCAGUAACGAAGCUAACGCGUGAAGUCGACCGCCUGGGGAGUACGGCCGCAAGGUUAAAACUCAAAGGAAUUGACGGGGACCCGCACAAGCGGUGGAUUAUGUGGAUUAAUUCGAUGCAACGCGAAAAACCUUACCUACCCUUGACAUGUCCGAGAGGCUGGAGAGAUCCAGCUGUGCCCGAAAGGGAAUCGGAACACAGGUGCUGCAUGGCUGUCGUCAGCUCGUGUCGUGAGAUGUUGGGUUAAGUCCCGCAACGAGCGCAACCCUUGUCAUUAGUUGCUACAUUUAGUUGGGCACUCUAAUGAGACUGCCGGUGA
rnacentral:rRNA from 1 species